rnacentral:lncRNA from 1 species
GUCUAAUUAAAGUAUCCGCUACGUCUUUAUAGAAAUUAUUCCAUCUUUGCUAAUUUCCUUUUUAAGUCAUGUCUAAGACUUAUAUGUCUUGACUUUUCAUUUCAUGUGACUUAGUAUCUUAUCAAAGUAUAGCUAGCCAACGAUCGAUUCAUUUGAUAGAUACAAUUUGUCACCACCAAGAAGCCACAUGCUUCUCACUCACUUUAUUUAAAGCCUCAUUGAUUUUUAAAACACUUGUUGGAUGAUUUCCAUUAAUUCAUUACACUAGUCCAUCACUUCUAUUUGUGGAUUUUCAUACUUGGGUAUUCACUUAUCAUCAUUGAAUCAUUACAAUGAUCUUCAAUGAAUAAUCUUUAAGUAUUUCAUUGGUUUUGCUAGCGCCACAAUCGGCCUUUACCCAUUUAAUCCACUUUUAGACUUAGUGUGUUUCAUCCUUACAAGGCCUUCUCUACCUUUCUCCAUCAUAGAUGUAUUUCUAUGAUUAAAAGGUAAAGGAUGUGGUAACUUUUUAA